GGGCCAGUCAUGGAUUUAUUUGGGCCUUCCGGCUUCACUGCUGCGAGGCCCAGUGCUUCCCCUUCUCGAACCCGUUCUUGCAGUAGUUGUAGUCUUCAAUCGCCUGCUGGAUCUGCGCCUGCGUGUUCAUCACGAACGGCCCGUACUGCACCACCGGCUCCUUCAGCGGCUGCCCGCCGAUGAGUACGAACCUCAGCGGCCUGGCCGCCCUGUUCCACACCUCUACCCCAUCGCCGGCGCUCAGCACCAGCGCGUGGUGGCUCGCCGCCGCCUCGGCGCUCGGGUCCCCGAACACGCCCUCGCCGUCCACGAUGUAGACGAAGGCGUUCCAUGACUCCGGGAUCCGCUGAUGAACUUGGGAUCCGGGGCUUAAGGUGAAGUCUAGGUACAUUGUUGGAGUCUGGGUGUAGACGGGUGACUGGACGCCGAAGGAUUCGCCGGCGAUGAUGCGGACGGCAACGCCAUCCCUUUCCACCUUGCUUAUGUCUUUGCUUUGUAGCUCUUGGUAUCUCGGCUCCAUCCUUGGAACGAAUAGGCGCAAAAAUUAGGUUUUCAUUGUGAAAUUCUCAAAGUUUGGAAGGAAAAAAAAAUCGAUAUUUCUCAUGGUAUCGGUUUGAUCGAUUCCAUUAGGAACAUUAUUUGUGAUUGUUAAAAAGAUAAAAUUUUGGCAAUUACAUUUUGUCCUUGGAGGAGAGAUUGAUCCAGAGCUGCAACCCUUUGUUCUCUCCAGGCGCAGCAGGCAUUUCUGAGUGAAUAAUUCCUUUACCAGCAGUCAUCCACUGAAGAAAUUAAUGUAGUAUGGAGGUGAACCGAUGAAUCUAAUUCUAAUUCAAUUGAUAGCGUAAAGCUUGAGGAGUGAAGGUCAUCAAAAGUACCUGCAGAUCUCCCGCUCUGAUGGUGCCCUUAUGCCCUGCAAAAUCUUGAUUCUACAUAGUGUGUUGGGCACCACUAGAGAAUGGACAAGUUGAUCUUAUCGAAGAAUGGGUGAGUUAUAUACUCCACUCGGCUGCACCAUCUUUACUGCUCAAGUAUUGGUGGCCAUGGAAGGUAAUGGCACUCUACCACUUGCAUUUCCGUAAUGCUUGCGCAUUUGGUAUGUCAAUUUGGAUCUGUCUAAACUAUAAAUAACUCAUUUGUGCAUAGUUUAUUUAUGUUUACAGCAUUCUUUCCCUUCAUAUUUUGUGAUAUUCACAAAAUGUUUGGUAAUAAGAAAUAAAAUGAUUAUUCUUUGAGGAAUA